rnacentral:rRNA from 1 species
CACUAAACUAAAACAUUUAACCUAAUAUAGUAUAGGAGAUAGAAACAUUUCAAUGAAGCUAUAGAGAAAGUACCGUAAGGGAAAGAUGCAAGAACAAAACUAAAAGUACAAAAAAGCAAAGAUUAAACCUUGUACCUUUUGCAUAAUGAACUAGCAAGAACAAACUUAACAAAAAGAAUAUUUAAGCUAAAAACCCCGAAACCAAACGAGCUACCUAUGAACAAUUUAUUGAAUGAACUCAUCUAUGUAGCAAAAUAGUGAGAAGAUUUGUAGGUAGAGGUGAAAAGCCUAACGAGCUUGGUGAUAGCUGGUUGUCCAGAAUAGAAUUUCAGUUCAACUUUAAAUUUAUUUACAGAACUAAUAAUCCCAACAUAAAUUUAAAAGCUAAUCUAAAGAGGGACAGCUCUUUAGAAACAGGAAAAAUCCUUAACUAGAGAAUAAAUAACAAAACUUACAUAGUUGGCCUAAAAGCAGCCACCAAUUAAGAAAGCGUUAAAGCUCAAAAUUUUAUACAUAAACUAAUUCCACAACACUAAAAUCAAUUCCUAAUAACAAUACUGGACCAAUCUAAAACUACUUAGAUAAAAUAAUGCUAAUAUGAGUAACAAGAAUAAAUUCUCCUCGCAUAAGUGUAUAACAGACCGAAUAAAUCACUGUUAAUUAACGUAUUAAUAGUUAUAUAUACAAAUAAACCAACACUAUUUAACCUCAACGUUAAUCCAACACAGGAAUGCUCUUAGGAAAGAUUAAAACAAGUAAAAGGAACUCGGCAAACUCUAACCCCGCCUGUUUACCAAAAACAUCACCUCUAGCAUAACAAGUAUUAGAGGCAAUGCCUGCCCAGUGAUAUAAAUUAAACGGCCGCGGUAUCCUGACCGUGCAAAGGUAGCAUAAUCACUUGUUCCUUAAUUAGGGACUGGAAUGAAUGGCUUCACGAGGGUUUAACUGUCUCUUACUUUUAAUCAGUGAAAUUGACCUUCCCGUGAAGAGGCGGGAAUUACAUAAUAAGACGAGAAGACCCUAUGGAGCUUUAAUUAACUUAUUUACUCAAGUAACCCACUACACUUCUAUAGAAAUUAACCCUUACUUUACUAAAUAAGCAAUUUUGGUUGGGGUGACCUCGGAGCAUAAAAGAACCUCCGAAAAAUUAAAUCCAAGACUAACAAGCCUAAGAUGAAAAUUUAAUUGACCCAAUAACAAUUGAUCAACGAACCAAGUUACCCUAGGGAUAACAGCGCUAUCCUAUUUUAGAGUUCAUAUCGACAAUAGGGUUUACGACCUCGAUGUUGGAUCAGGACAUCCCAACGGUGCAGCAGCUGUUAAAGGUUCGUUUGUUCAACGAUUAAAGUCCUACGUGAUCUGAGUUCAGACCGGAGUAAUCCAGGUCGGUUUCUAUCUAUUAUUAAUUUCUCCCAGUACGAAAGGACAAGAGAAAUAGAGCCUACUAACCAAUAGCGCUCUUUCGCCAACAGAUGACUAAAUCUU